AAGUAGAACGCUCGAAGGAGGAGCUUGGUCUUUCCGGAUGAGUUGCGAACGGGUGAGUAACGCGUAGGUAACCUGGCUGGUAGCGGGGGAUAACUAUUGGAAACGAUAGCUAAUACCGCAUAACAGUAGAUAUCGCAUGAUAGCUGCUUGAAAGGUGCAACUGCACCACUACCAGAUGGACCUGGGUUGUAUUAGCUAGUUGGUGAGGUAACGGCUCACCAAGGGAACGAUACAUAGCCGAACUGAGAGGGUGAUCGGCCACACUGGGACUGAAACACGGCCCAGAAUCCUACGGGAGGGAGCAGUAGGGAAUCUUCGGGAAUGGAAGGAAGUUUGAACGAACAACGCCGCGUGAGUGAAGAAGGUUUUCGGAUCGUAAAGCUCUGUUGUAAGAAAAGAACGAGUGUGAGAGUGGAAAGUUCACACUGUGACGGUAUCUUACCAGAAAGGGACGGCUAACUACGUGCCAGCAGCCGCGGUAAUACGUAGGUCCCCGAGCGUUGUCCGGAUUUAUUGGGCGUAAAGCGAGCGCAGGCGGUUAGAUAAGUCUGAAGUUAAAGGCUGUGGCUUAACCAUAGUACGCUUUGGAAACUGUUUAACUUGAGUGCAAGAGGGGAGAGUGGAAUUUCAUGUGUAG
rnacentral:rRNA from 1 species